AUUGGACCGGUUCUAAACUGCCCUCCGUGAUUGGACAAUACUGAUCAGUAAUUACUCGAUUCUACCAGUCACGUUGCUCGUCCUGCCCGGCAGGUAGGAGGUGGGCCUUAUGCCGGAGCCGCAUCCUACUGCCUUACUAUUGGUCGUCGGCAACCGCUUUGUUAGUUAAUUGGAGAGAAUGGAUGUCCAUCAGGGUCACGCUUGCAGGGCAACGAGAGGCAAAACAAGAGGGAAGACGACUUUCCUCCCGUGAGCCAAUGAGGCCAGCUGGGCUACCCCGAGACAACUGGGAGAAGCGUGGGACUCGCCCGUUCCGCGGAACGCCGGGAAGGGGUCACCUCCUGAUGAAGUUUCCGGUUCCGGUGUCAGCGGCGGUUGAAUUGCCAUGGCAACGCGGUUAGCGCGCGCUUGUGGUGUUGGUCUCUUGGGAGGUAGCGGGGCUAGGCCGGGCCGGUAUCCGCCUCUCCCGGCUUAGGUGAGCGUCCCCGGGCGCCUCCGGAGCGCCGCGGCCGCAUGCGGUUCGUGGUGGCGGGGAGCGGGAGCCUGACCGGGGUUCCAGCGCUCGGGCCGUAGCCUUGGCUCCUCGACUCUCCCUGGCUCCGUCGCCACGUGGGAGCUGAGGCUCUGGGGCUUCCGCCUCCGGCGCGCGAUUAUUUCUCUAGAACAGUUUUCACUUUUAAAAUUUGUAAAGCGCUUUUGCCUGUGUGAUUUCCUCUGGGUUUCUUUUUUCUUCCUUUUUUUAGAGACGGAAUUGGCGUCGGGGGUGUGUGUGGGGGGGUGGGGGCGAUAUCUCACUUUGUUGCCUAGGCUGGUCUCGGACUCCUGGCUUCAAGGGAUCCUCCUGCCUUGGCCUCUUAAAGUGUUGGGAUUACAGGCGUGAGCCACCGCCUCCGGCCGCCUCUGAGUUUCCAGCCUCGUUGGCCCUCCAGCCUUUUAAGCUGUUGGGCCUAGGAUCAGGAAAGGUUUGUUGAAUGGGGAACUAAGAAAUGAAUUCGUUCGUUCGACAAACGUUUCCUGAGCAGCCGCUGGGUGCUAGGCGCGGUGCCAGCGCGGAAUGUCCAGGGAGACCUGGUGCCCAAAGCUUGGACCCAGCGUGAGAAAUGAGAAGCAGAUACAAAGUAGUGUGGGAGUGCAGAGGAGACAAAGCAAGCCUCAUUAGGCCCAUUGCUUGCUCUGCUCUCCCUUGUACUUACCGGUGCUUGACAAUAUACAGUUAUUUACUAGCUUGGUUAUUGACUUCCCUACCUGGCACUCAACUUUAUUCACUGCUGUAUCCUCAGUGCCUAGGACGAUGCUUGGAACGUGAUUCAUUGAUUCCAGGUAAAUCAGAGGAACAAGCAACAUGAACAGAAAUAUGUAGAAAAUGCUAUUAUGCAGAAGCAUAAUUGUUGUUUCAGAAGUCCAGCAUCUGAUGCACUUAACAAUAGAGAAUAUAUUAAACUCUUUCCAAAAUAA